AUUGAACGCUGGCGGAAUGCUUUACACAUGCAAGUCGAACGGCAGCACGGACUUCGGUCAGGUGGCGAGUGGCGAACGGGUGAGUAAUACAUCGGAACGUGCCCAGUCGUGGGGGAUAACGUAGCGAAAGCUACGCUAAUACCGCAUACGAUCUAAGGAUGAAAGCGGGGGAUCGCAAGACCUCGCGCGAUUGGAGCGGCCGAUGGCAGAUUAGGUAGUUGGUAGGGUAAAGGCCUACCAAGCCGACGAUCUGUAGCUGGUCUGAGAGGAUGAGCAGCCACACUGGGACGCAGACACGGCCCAGACUCCUACGGGAGGCAGCAGUGGGGAAUUUUGGACACUGGGCGCAAGCCUGAUCCAGCCAUUCCGCGUGCAGGAUGAAGGCCUUCGGGUUGUAAACUGCUUUUGUACAGAACGAAAAGGCUCUGGUUAAUACCCGGGGCUCAUGACGGUACUGUAAGAAUAAGCACCGGCUAACUACGUGCCAGCCGCCGCCGUAA
rnacentral:rRNA from 1 species